GGGAUAAUAGCUCAGUGAUUAGAGCAUCUGCUUUGCACACAGGAGGUCCCAGGUUAAAUCCCCAGCAUUUCCA